rnacentral:rRNA from 1 species
GAUGAACGCUGGCGGCGUGCCUAAUACAUGCAAGUCCAGUGCAGCGGGGACGGGUGAGUAACACGUGGACAACCUCCUAUAAGACUGGGAUAACUUCGGGGAACCGGAGCUAAACCGGAUACUUACAGAUGGAUCCGCGCUGCAUUGGCUAGUUGGUCAGGAAACGGCUGACAAAGGCAACGAUGCAUAGCCGACCUGAGCGAGGGAUCGGCCAGACUGGAACUGAGGCACGUUCCCGACUCCUACGCGAGGCAGCAGUGGGGAAUCUUCCGCAAUGGGCGAGAGCCUGACGGAGCAACGCCGCGUGAGUGAUGAAGGUCUUCGGAUCGUAAAACGCUGUUAUUAGGGAAGCGGUACCUAAUCAGAAAGCCACGGCAAACUACGAGCCAGCCGCCGCGGUAAUAC